rnacentral:lncRNA from 1 species
AUCCCAAUUUGUUUUAUAAAGAUUGUUCUCUGGGAUCACAGAAGACUUGUAUUUUAGCUUCCUCUUAUGGGACAAUCAAGUUCUGCAUUGUGUCAACGCUGACAAGGGCUGGAGCACCUCUCCUAUGAAGAAAGGUUGAGGGAACUGGGCUUGUUUAGCUUGGAGAAGAGAAGGCUCCGGGGAGACCUCAUUGUGGCCUUCCAGUAGUUGAAGGGAGUGUAUAAACAGGAGAGGGAAUGACUGUUGACAUGGGCUGAUAGCGAUAGGACAAGGGGGAAUGGUUUUAAACUGAGAUAGGGGAGAUUUAGGUUAGAUGUUAGGAGGAUGUUUUUCACUCCAAGGGUGGUGACACACUGGAACAGGUUGCCCAGGGAGGCUGUGUAUGCCUCGUCCCUGGAGGCAUUCAAGGGCAGGCUGGACGUGGCUCUGGGCAGCCUGGUCUAGUGGUUGGUGACCACAGCAGGAGGGCUGAAACUAGAUGAUCUUUGAGGUCCUUUUCAACCCAAGCCAUUCUAUGAUUCAAUGAUUCUAUGACCUGGGGAAGUGUUCUGUGACACCACUGACACAAUGGCAAGUCAAACUUAUCCAUUUUACUCUUUUUAACUCUAUGUGGAUUCUUGACAAUGAAAGUAAUAAGCAAAUUUCUUUUAUUCUAGUCACAAACUAAUAACUAGAUAUGUAAUUACAUACACAUUUUUAAAAUCUAAAAGUAAAAUUGCAGAAGUUACUCAUAUUUAGCAGUAUGGAAGGAGAUUAGCCUCAGAGAUGAGGAAAGCUCAGACUGUAAUCAGGACUUGACGACCUGCCUGUGAGCAAGCAGUCAUGGGUUUCCUCAUUGAGUUCAGCUGUGGGAUCAGGUGUGCACCUUAUCUGGGAAGCUAUAAAAGUGGGUUAUGGGAUCCUGAUUACAAGGUUUGGUAGAGCUGGUCAAGCAGGACCUUGGAGGGGCAGCCAGCGGGGAAGCUGUGCAGAAAAGGCCCUUUGGGAGCAGGUUUCCAUUUGCACUAUCCACUGUACAAAUGCAUAAUCUCUUCACCGAAGAAUGUAAGUAAAAGUAGACAAGAUAAUAUCUGAUGCUUUCCAGAUAGCAAGUGGAAGAAGAUAGUACUGCUGUGAUAUGAGGUCUGACAGCUUCUUUGAGUGAAGUGAGCAGAGUUUUAUCUAGACAGAAAUAAAAAGAAAAAAAGGUAAGAAAGGGCA